CGAUUGUUUUUCCGGGCUCACAAUCAAACCCUUACACACGUUGGUUUUUAACUUGGCUCACCAACCAACCUUAAACCCCUUGAUUCAAUCCCCCGAUUGAAUCAAGUAAAUACAAGAGAUAGGAGAAAACAGAAAAUAGCUUCUCAAAAAGCAGAUUUAAGACAAUAUAAUCGUAAAAGAGUUAGAAGCCCUCAAACGCUUUUAAGCUGGUGAAGAGGUAUGGCUUCUGGAACUCCGGUCUCCUCUUGAAAGAGUGGUCGACUUGAAUGCAGGAGGAGGAAGCUUUGAUUGUUGGGAAGAAGUUGUUGGAGCAGUAAAUGCAGAUCUCCCCUUUUUC
rnacentral:lncRNA from 1 species